rnacentral:rRNA from 1 species
UACGUAGGAUGCAAGCGUUGUCCGGAAUUAUUGGGCGUAAAGAGCUCGUAGGCGGUCUGUCACGUCGGCUGUGAAAACUCGGGGCUCAACCCCGAGCCUGCAGUCGAUACGGGGCAGACUAGAGUGCGGUAGGGGAGACUGGAAUUCCCGGUGUAGUGGUCGAAAUGCGUAGAUAUCGGGAGGAACACCAGUGGCGAAGGCGACUACCUGGCCUGUUCUUGACGCUGAGGCGCGAAAGCUAGGGGAGCAAACGGGAUUGAGAUACCCCGUGU